rnacentral:rRNA from 1 species
UACGUAGGGUGCGAGCGUUAAUCGGAAUUACUGGGCGUAAAGUGUGCGCAGGUGGCCGCGCAAGUCGAGUGUGAAAUCCCCGAGCUUAACUUGGGAAUUGCGCUCGAAACUACGGUGCUGGAGUGUGGCAGAGGGAGGUGGAAUUCCACGUGUAGCGGUGAAAUGCGUAGAGAUGUGGAGGAACACCGAUGGCGAAGGCAGCCUCCUGGGCCAACACUGGACGCUCGAUGCACGAAGCGUGGGAGCAAACAGG